UUGUGAUAUAACUGGAGGUGCCUAACUACAAAACACUGGCUGCAGCUGGAAUAAAUCUCAGCGGUUCUUACAAAGCAUGGACUAUCUGGAAGAAUAGCAAGUUAUUUCUGUCUUUUUCUGCAUGUUUUCUUUACUUCUUUCCAAGAAACCUGUAUUUACAGGAUCUUUCCUCUUGGUAGGUACCUGUUUGAUAUAUCAGUUACAUCAAUUAGUUACUUCCCCUGGUUCCACAGUUCUCUCCAGACUGUUCUCUCCACAAUAAUGGCAUAAUAAUAGUUUAUGCCUGUGGUUCAUUGAACACGUGCUCGUGCCCUAUACUGUGCUGUUUUGUUUUUGUUUUUUUCCAUGACAUGCCAUGAUUCUCAACUGUGUUGUUUUAAAUACACUGUUCUUUCUUCACAACAGUCCUGCCUCAGGACCUUGGUAUAUCUAUCUAUGCCCUCUACCUGAAAGUUUUUGCCAGGCAUCCUCCCAUGCAUCCCUCAAGAUUCUAAGAAAUCACUCUGAUUCUCCAGACUAUUUGUAACCCUCCAUCACACACAACACUUUUUUUUUUUCUUUAUAGGACUGGUCAUAUAAAAAAAUCAUUACACAGUUUUUAAUGUCUGAAUUCCCUGGUAGAUUUAAAGUUACUGCUUUGACAACUUGGACUGUUUCUUAGAAUGCUACAUCCUUCACACUUAGAAUGGUGCUUGGUGCAUAUGAGGUGCUCAAUAAACAGUUGUUGAACAAACACUAUAUGAGGUAAGUACUACAGUAUCUCCAUUUUAGAAAGGAGGAAGCUGAAGAGCGAAGAAGUUAACUUGCUCAGUAUUACUUCACUAGAAAGUAGGGGAGUUGAUAUUAAAAAAAAAUCUACCACAUAUUCCGGAGACCUUUAGUUUUACAUAGAGCUCUUCUCCCACAAACUACUUAGAUGGCUGAUUAAGAGUACUGGUAAAAAGUUAUAAAGGAAGUGGUGUGACAAAAAAAUAUCUAGGACCUCUGGGAUGAGGAGGAAAACCUUGGGGACUGAAGGGCUUGAAGGAACUUUAAGGUCAGUUAACAAAUGGUAUGUCAAAGGUAUUAUACAAAGAAGAAUGAAAAUACUUAUAAAGUGGACUACAGUCUUGAAGGAGAAUUGGGGGAUCACUUUUGAAGCUGCCACUAAAUGCAGUGUUACUUCUUGCAGGAAAUGGUUAAUGCCACUCAUCAAGAACCAUACUUCUGGAAGUCUAAUGUAGAGAGGAUUAAAGCAUAAUGGGCCUUGUAGUCAGACUUCCGGAUCAGACUUCCAGCUCUGCUACUUACUAGCUAUGAGAUCUCUGGGAAGUUUCUUAACCUCACUGUGCUUCAGUUUUCUCAUCCACAGAAAUCAGAAAUAAGUACUUUUAUCAAAGUUAUUGAGAGGAUUAAAAUGAUAUAGUUAAAAUGCAAAGAUCAGUAGCUGACUCAAAGUAAUUAUAUAAACGUUUGCUAUUUUAUUAUUUUAUAAAUGACAGAUGAAAGCUUGAUAAUCAAGUUUUUUUUUUUGGAUGGAGUCUCACUCUGUUGCCAGGCUAGAGUGCAGUGGCAUGAUCUUGGCUCACUGCAAACUCUGACGCCCGGAUUCAAGCGAUUCUUCUGCCUCAGCCUCCCGAGUAGCUGGGAUUACAGGCGCGUGCCACCAAGCCUGGCUAAUUUUUGUAUUUUUAGUAGAGAUGGGGUUUCACCAUGUUGGCCAGGCUGGUCUCGAACUCCUGACCUCAGGUGAUCCACCCGCCUUGGGCUCCCAAAGUGCUGGGAUUGCAGGUGUGGGCCACUGUGCCUGGCCUUCAUAAUCAAUUUUUAAAAGCAGGACAUGAAAAGGAGUGAAAGUUAAGAAACCUUAGCUGUAGUGUUUGGAAUUAACACUUGGGAAGUCAUGAUUGACAAAUAGAGAAAUAUAAAUAUGUAUAUAUAACUGAUAUAAAACAAAUUAGAUUUUGACAUUAGAAACACAUAUACACAUACUGUAAUAUGUACUUUCUUCAUUCUCUUUAACCUAUAUUCUGGUUUUAAGUUUCCUGGAGCCCGUGGAGUAAUGGGACAGGAAGGCUCAGAGGGUCUCUUUACUGAUAGUUAAGAUACAAAAAAAACUAGGCCAGGCGCAGUGGCUCACGCCUGUGAUCCCAGCACUUUGGGAGGCCAAGGCGGGCGGAUUAUGAGGUCGGGAGUUUGAGAGCAGCCUGGCCAACAUGGUGAAACCCCAUCUCUACUAAAAAUAGAAAAAUUAGCCGGGCAUGGUGGCAGGCACCUGUAAUCCCAGCUACUAGGUAGGCUGAGGCAGGAGAAUCACUUGAACCCAGGAGGCGGAGGUUGCAGUGAGCCGAGAUCGCACCACUGCACUCCAGACUGGGUGACAGAGCAAGACUCUGUCUUGGAAGGCGGGGGAAGAUACAAAAAAAAAAAAAAAAAAUCGGGGGAAUCUUCAAAUUUGUUAAGUGGUAGACACUUCCAUAUUUUAUUAAUACAGAACUCUUGUUAUAUGUGGGAUUACAUGGCUUUUUUCACUUCUAUAUUAGAGAUGAGAUGGGGAAAGUAUGUCUUGAACAGUUACUUCAGCAUAAAUACUUUCGUACCUUCAUUUUUUCCGUUUGGAAGGUAAGAGGGUUGGAUAUUUACAGAAUUGCUCAUUGAGGACCAGUCUUUGAUAUUUACUUGCUCUAAUGUUAGUUGGCCAAUCAGAAUUAUUUGCAUUUAACUAAAACCAUCAGCAUAAAGCAAGCUUACAUAACCUACAUUUAUUUCAUAGCUUAGUGAUUACAUUACACAGUCAGUCAGAAUCCUGAUUCUGCUAUUUACUAGCUAAGUGGCCACAAAUAAGUUAUUUAAAUCCUCUAAGCCUGCUUCUGUAGUUGUAAAAUGAGAGUUAUAGCAGCACCUACCACCUAAGAUUUUGAGGUUUGAAUGAGAAAAUGCAUGUAAAGCUUUGGGCAUUGUGCAUGAUGUAAACACUCAAAUGUUACUGAAGUCAAUAAAUGUUAACUAUUUUUUAGCACACUUCAGUGGGCUUAUAUCACCAGUCAAAAUGAUACACAGUAUUUUAUUUAAUGGCUUUAUGUAAAUUAUAUUUUACUAGCUAUUAAUAAAUUAACUCUUGGAACUUUUGCCAUGGUUAAUUUGAAAAAUUGAAAAUAAAUGGAAAAUCAUAAAAGUUCAUCUAUUUUGGAUUACACAUAAUAACCACUAUAGUGUUCAAAGUUAAGAUACUAAUCAUGGCUGGGCACGGUGGUUCAUGCCUGUAAUCCCAGCACUUUGGGAGGCCGAGGUGGGCGUAUCACUUGAGAUCAGGAGUUCAAGACCAGCCUGGCUAACAUGGUGAAACUGCAUCUCUACUAAAAAUACAAAAAUUAGCUGGGCAUGGUGGCGGGCACCUGUAAUCCAAGCUAGUUAGGAGGCUGAGGCAGAAGAAUUGCUUAAACCCACGAGACGGAAGUUGCAGUGAGCUGAGAUCACACUACUGCACUCCAACUUGGGCAACAGAGUGAGACUCUGUCUCAAAAAAAAAAAAGAUAUUAAUCACAUACUAAUGUUCUCUUUUAAAUAUUUCCACAUUAACAGAAGAACUGAGCUUAGAUAGACAUAGUCCUACCUCUAAAUCUUCAUCUUCAUCAAUGUUUUGUAUAUUCUGGUAGGCAGCAGUGUAGACCUCUAAAGCUUUGCCGUGAAAUAACAUUUCGAUUGUGAUAAAUUCAGAAAAUAUAGUCUAAAAAAAACCAAAGAAUUGAAUUUAAACAAUGAUUUAAAUUUCUUUAUGAAUAUAGUAACUUUAUUCCUCACUAUAGUCUUGGUAUUUUAUAAAAUACAGAAGUAUCUGUUUUUCUAUAGGGUAAAUAAAGUACAAAAGAUAACUGAAAAACAGUUGUGAAGACCUUUUGCUGCCAAACCUUCAAAUAAUACAAAGUAUUUCCUUUAUCACCAUCCACUUCCCUCUUAUUUUUUAUUUUAGUUAGUUCUCUUUAUACCUAGUAAUUGACAUUUAUAAUAACAUAAGAUCUGACUAAAAUGUAUGCUACUAUAUAAUUUUAAUACCAUAUGCUUAUUAAGUAUUAGAGCAGUUCAGUUAUGAAGCUGGUGUUUUAGCAAUUCCAACUGAUGUUUAAACAGGAGAACGUUUUUUAAACAGGAAUUAUGUUCCACACUGUAUGCUACUUGUAUUCUCUAAACAUAAAGGAGUUACUUGGUAGUAAUGACACUCCUGCCACUGAUGAUAACACCAUAUAUUUGCAUAGAGCGUUCUAGUUUACAAAUAUUGACUUGCCCAGUGUUGCUCACAGGUCAGACUCUUUAGACACAGAUCUGAUUCUAAGGCUACAAGGUUAUAGCUCAUUUAAGGUUUUUUUGCUAUUGCCCACUGAACUGUGCUGUUCUUGCCGGAAUCAAUCAUUUCCUUCACAGAUAAACCGUGCAGGUAACCUCUAUAAGCAUGAUGGAAACCUAUGACAAGGAAGAUCAUGAACAAAGAGUAUGAGUGAAGAUGUGCAUGUUGAUCUAAGCAGGGGGUGAGGUAAUCAGUAGGUGUGGAAAAGAUGGAAACCAGGCAAGUUUUUAAUAAAUAUGAUCUUAUCAUUUUGUUAAUUAUAACAAAAUAAGCAAUGUAGAGAGAACUGGGCUGAAUAAGAACAAGGCAGAAAAUACUCAAGCAUGGAUUAUAUUAGUAGGCAGUAGUCAAAUACACAUUUUCCUUCAUCCCUGCUCUCCUAAGAUAACCCAGAAAGGAGUGGUCAUAUACUUUGGAGGAUAGCCAUAUAGAUACUUAUCAGUGGCCUGUGAUUCUUUCCUCCAGCCCCAUUCUUCCUAGAUGAUUGGAAAAACACUUAAGGGAGCAUUAAGAGGCUCUGAUUGCUACUCAGUGAUAUACGUCAGUCUGAGAGGACAGGGCCUAGGUAAAAAAGACUUGUAACGAUGAUUCACAAUGACCCUUACUGUCACUUCAUGUAAGUUAUAGAGGGCUCAGGUAUACCAGGCUGGCAACUGAUGGAUAAACGGCAUUAUGCUAAAAUACAAUUUUGGAUUUCAUAUUAAAGUAUCUCUAGAUACCCAGGAAUACCUUAGAGGAGGAAUGGCUUCUGACCAGGGCUGGGACCUACUCUUAGUUGUUAGUGUCCUUAUGAUAGUUGCAAACCAGAAAGGAGUCAGGUUUUCUUGAGUGUGGAAACUCCUAGAGGGAAAACUGAACGAAGAGUCGAUGACAAGCCAAUACACCCAUUUUUAAUGCUCAAGAAGUAAACUAGCCAGGCACAAUGGCAUGUGCCUAUAAUCCCAGCUACUUGGCAGGCUGAGGGAGGAGGUUCCCUUGGGUCCAGGUGUCCCAGACCAGCUUGGGCAACAUUUGGAGACUUCUGUCUCAACAAGAACAACAAAGUCAACUAGCUAAAUUGGAUGUAAUGACUAACAGUAAAGCAUCCAUCUUGUUUGAUUAACAAAAGAGAUCUUUAACGAAAAGGUUUUAAGAACAUUUUCGCAAAGAGGAAAUGACAGCUCUCCAGCGUAUAGGAUAUUCAAUAAAGGAUGUAAGAGAACUGUUUAUCCAUUUGAAAAUUAAAGUUAUAUAUCCAUGUCGUACCACAUGCAAAACACAGCUGCCAGCUAAAUAUUUAAUGUUUAAAGUAUUUUAAAAAUCAAGAAAAUAUAAGCAAGUAUUUAUAUAACCUAGGGGAUGAAAACCUUUCUAAGCAUGACACCAAGGAAGAAACCAAAGAUAAGAAGAUGGAUUUGGCAAUAAAAAGAAAACUUAGAGGUGGCAAAAACACUAAGCAGUAAAAUGAGAAAAUACAUUUGCAACAUACUUUCUCUUUAAUUUGAAGGGCUAAUUUUCUCAAUAUAAAGAAUUUUUAGAAAUUAGUAAGAAAUUCCAACAUCCAACAGAAAUAUAGGUUAAGGAAAAAUAUAAUUUACUAAAGGAAUGUAUCGCUAAAUACAUUUAAAAAGCUCAGCAGUAAUAACACAAAUGAUACUGAUUUUUUACCUAUUAUUAAAAAUACUGCAACUUAUGGUGUCAACAUUGUCAUAUUAAAAAAAAAAAACAACAAACACAGGCCGGGUGCAGUGGCUCAUGCCUGUAAUCCUGGCACUUUGGGAGGCCGAGGCAGGUGGAUCACCUGAGGUCAGGAGUUCUAGACUACCCUGGCCAACAUGGUGAAACCCUGUUUCUACUAAAAAUACAAAAAUUAGCUGGGCAUGGUGGUGCACGCCUGUAAUGCCAGCUACUUGGGUGGCUGAGGCAGGAGAAUCACUUGAAUCCGGGAGGCAGAGGUUGCAGUAACCCAAGAUCAUGCCACCAUACUACAGACUGUGUGACAGAGCGAGACUCUGUCUCAAAACAACAACAAAAAAACAAACUCACCAUUGUACCUGUGCUUAUGCAAGGUUUAGUAGGAACGUAAAUUGGUUUAACCUUUGUGGACAGAAGUUUUAAAAAUAUAUAUUAAAAUUAAAAGUAUGCUCUGAAGGAGGAACUCCACUUCUGGUAAUUUAUCUCAAGAGAAUAACUGGGCCAGCACAAAGGCUGCUGUUUAACAAUGUGUAAUGAUGCAGUGACAGCUACAAUUGCAAAAAUAACCUAGACAUUCACCAAUGAGGACUGGUUAAAUGAACUAGUAUAACCAUACUGCAGAAUAUCAUAAAGAUAACAAAAAAAUGAUAUGGAUCUGUUUCUUGGCAUAAAUAUAUCCAUAAGUUUUAAGAAGAGAUGCUAUAUAUACGGUGGUCCCAUUGAUGUAUAACUGUUAGGACUAAAAAUAGUACCUUCCUCAUAAUGAUGUUUUGAGGAAUUAAUGAGUUUAUUCAUGCAAAAUGCUUAGAAUGGUACCUGGCACACAGACAAUGUUUAAGAAAUGUUUGUUAUUGUUAUUACUAUGUCUCUGUAUAUAUGCAUAGGAAAAAUCUGGAAGGAUAAAAUAAAAAAUGAAUAUUUUUGGGUGGUGAGACUAAAUUUUUGUCUAAUUUUAUGGAUAAGUUUUAUGAUUUAUAUUUAUAAUAAAAAUAAAGCUAUAAAAAUUAAUUAUGAUGUUUCUUGCUCAUGUCAG
rnacentral:lncRNA from 1 species